GUUGACAUGAGCAAAAGUUGUAAUGUAUUUAUCACCUGCCUAAUAAUGGUUGUACCGCAGUGCUAACAACUGACCACACGUCCAGUAAGCAACCGGGAGGCAGCCAUACACAUGUCAGCACAGCUUGGUGGCUGACCUGGGGGAACAGACCACAUGGCAGGAAAUUGCCUGUUGAUUAGAUAGGGAAAUGCAUAGCUAGGUUAGGG